UAGACCGGUGGCAUUUUGUCGAAGAUAUUAGAUGCAGUCGCCAAAGGACUCCCUGCAUGUCUGCGGGCUGUUGCUGCUGCUGCGGCAUUGAUGGUACAAGACGCAGAACUCAUUGUUCUUUCACACCCUAUGACUGUGACACCCUAUGAAUAUUACACAUGACAGCACAACGUCGAUUGGGGUCCCACCUAGUAGGGGAAUACUACAACGUUACCCUGGAAGACCUAGAAGUGACAGGAUCUUAGUCCCCACCCCCGGUGCUUUGAGUCUCAGUAUACACAGUAAGUGUGUAUAUCUUUUAGCUUACCUAUUGUAUAAUAUACUACAGGAAUAAGAAGUGUGGGCUUCAAGCAAUUAAGUGUCAACACGGUGGCUUCCUGAAGAAUAAAAGUGAUGCAAAGUAAUAACUUAAGAUCACGUUCCCACCCCCCUAAACCUAAUAGUGUACGUAAGUGAGAUGCCCUUACUCCAAGGUAAGUUCCACAAAUAAUUAUCAACUGUAUUACUUUUAACAAUAAAUAAUUUAUUUUCUCUUUUUUAGGAAGCUGGGAAUUCUUCUGAAAAGGUUUGUUACAAUUAAAUGAAAUAAUGAAAUAAAAUAAUAAAACAAAUAACAGGUUCUCUGAAUUUGUCUUACAACCUUUAUGAGUCUUCAAGUCUUAACAAUUUCAAACACUUUAUAAAACACCCCUCAGAUAUAAAUUCUUUCAAAUUAAUUUCAAUAUCUGGACACGUAAAUUAACUCACUAGUAACACUGGAUGUUAUUAAACAAACUCUGAAUCAAAUCAAAGACUCUUGUAGUACAAUUCAAAUGAUUCACUUCAGAUAACUCUGAUGACUCUUAACUUUGUUCAAAUGACUCUUUUGAAUCAACUUUAUGAUUCAGUUUCCAUUUGACUCAGAUUCACAUCAAAUUGUUCAAAAUCACAGUUCAGGUUCACAAUUCAGAUAAUAACUCAGUUCAGUUCAAUCUAACUCAGUAAAAUGUUCAUACAGGUGUGUGUAAAGAACAUUUGUACCAGAUUGUAGCAACGAUGACUUUGAUGCGUCGACUUUGCGAUGACUUAUGACGACUUGCGAUGACUUAUGAUUUAUGAUGACUUGUAACUUGUGAUGACUUGUAACAGUGAAACAAAACAUCUGAGACUGGACAAUGAGGAGAUGUCGUCUGGUUGGCAGGGUAACAAACACAAAAAACACCAGAGAAGCUUCAGCGCGGCUCGGGAAAACUCUGGAACUUUCUGGAACAAAAUGGUGCGGCUCAGUCACAGCACCCACUUGAAUAGGGUCGAUCCAGAAAAACAAGAAAAACACUUCUUGAAAGCAAAUUUUCAGAUCAUCUGCAAUUGUUAAACUCUUCUGAAUGCCAAAAAUACUCAGAAAAAGGGAAAAAAUCACUCCGUGCAAAACUUACUCUUGUUCUAGCGCUCUUACAAGUGCACUAAAGCGAUUCGCGGGAAAACAACGUAUCACGAUCUAUGACACGGUUCAUUGAUGACUCCAAAAAUGCAGUAUGAUUCUACAAAAACGUAAAUUCAGUAUUACACCAGAAACAACAAUGUUCUGAAUGAAACUCACGGCUUUAGCAACUCUCUUUCGUGCUCUCGGCCAGUCUCUAACACCGUUCUCCGUUCAAUGGCGCAAUCAACCGAACUUCUGCUUCAACUACGUCUUCAGUUUCACACAAUCACGUCAAUGUACACUUAACUCACAAAACUUAAACUGACUGUGCCUCUGUCAUCCUUUACAUUUUCAGCAGAGAAAAAGUCUACUUACACAGCGAUCACAGCGUGUCUCUCUUCUCCAACAUCCAUUCAGCGUGUGCGUUCUUCUCACGCACAAUGUAGACAGCACCACCCACCAAAAUAAAAGUCCCUUAGAGAAAAAUACAUCACCGUUACAUAUGCAAGAAAAGCUUGGAAUCAAAAGUGAUUACAGCUAACGCUAAUAUUAUUAUUCUAUUUGUUUCUAUGUCUCAACCUCGGCACUCCUAUCCCGAUGUCACCAGAAGCGGCCGGAUCCACCUCCAUUCCUGCUUGGUAUCGGACUCCACUGCUGUGUGUCUCUGAGUGAUGACAGCUAAAUGCAGCCAGUGCCAGCCAGACAUCACUUCAGUUUUUUAUGAUGGACCUCAGAGGAUGAACAGAUGCCAACUCCAACCAUAAGACAUGGGAUACGUCAUAUGCCAUUGCCUAAACCUUGGACUUAGGAUAGACCUCACCAAAAUUACCGGCCGGUUGAACUGCAAAGCACCUUACAGAUCUCUGCCUGCAUCACCAUGGUCUAAUGAUGGUCUACACUCUUAAAAUGGAAUACAUAGGGUGGCCUGGGUAGCUCAGCAAGUAUUGAUGCUGACUACCACCCCUGGAGUCGUGAGUUCAAAUCCAGGGUGUGCUGAGUGACUCCAGCCAGGUCUCCUAAGCAACCAAAUUGGCCCAGUUGCUAGAGUCGCAUGGGGUAACCUCCUUGUGGUUGCGAUUAGUGGUUCUCGCUCUCAGUGUGGCGCGUGGUAAGUUGUGCGUGGAUCGCGGAGAGUAGCAUGAGCAUCCACAUGCUGGGAGCCUCCGCGGUGUCAUGCACAACGAGCCUCGUGAUAAGAUGCGCUGAUUGACUGUCUCAAAAGCGGAGGCAACCACCCCCCAGAUUGUAGGUGAGUAACCACGCCACCACGAUGACCUACUAAGUAGUGGGAAUUGGGCAUUCCAAAUUGGGAGAAAAAGGGGAUAAAAAAAAUGGAAUAAAUAUAUUAUCAAUAAAUUGCCAACAAAAGCCUUCAUCAGCCAACUAACAAAGGAAAAUGCAUCUUUAUGAACUUCUGCAGUUAAUCCAGGAUGAACUUCAAAGACAAUAGUUAUUAAUCUUAAAUCUUUGUUUAAACACUGGCCCUUAACACUUACUUAGUUUAAUCAUUUUAAACCAUGACUUGCACUGCAAAUAAAUAAGUAAUACUGGCAUUAUAUUCAUGCUUUUAGCCAGAGGGGAACUGGCCCCCACAGUGAGCCUGGUUUCUCCCAAGGUAAUUUUUCUCCAUUAGCCAACAUCUUAUGGAGUUUUGUGUUCCUUGCCACAAUUGCCUUCGGCUUGCUUACUGUGAUUCUAAAUACAAUUAUUAUUUAAUUACUUAUUUUUAUACAAAUUUCAUAAUCGUAUUUAAUCAAAAUACACAAUGAUGACUCUAAGACUCUAUAGAUAUUAUGGUUUCAUUUUCUGUUAAUGCAUGAUUUUCUGUAAAGCUGCUUUGAAAUAAUGUGUGUUGUGAAAGGCACUAUACAAAUUAAAAUGACUUGACUAACCAAUGGAAAUGUGAAAGUGUGCAAAUAAAAUUAAACAAACGAAAACCAGUUGCAGUUUACCACAGAACAUUUCAUCAUCUGCUGUGGGCAUAAGGUUUCAUAACCAGAUACUCUUAUUUCUCUAUUAGUUACAGAAAGUUUUGAAGUUGCUUUUUGUGGAUUAAAAAUAAACAACAUAUACACUAUAAAAUAAUAAAUUCUCUACUUAAAUUGUUUUAUUAAAUGGCCACCUGCGUUUAAAGAAAGUAGGAAAGUAAGAAAUUAAUUUAACUUGCUUGGCUGAGGAAACAAUGGCCUGGUCAUGUGGGCGUGAAAUCAGAAUCCCGUAUUUUGAUUAACAUUUGCAAAACAACCACAUUUAUUUGAAGCCCCGGCUUGCUUUCAGGGGGUUUAAUAUUUCACCUUAACUGCUCUUGUUUCUUAAGUGAUCUCAUAAGAUGUUUCCUGUUCUUCCUGUUAUUAUCAGAGGCUACAGUAUAUCACUGAAAAAUGUAAAAAACAACAACAACAACAACAAAAAAACAACCUGUCUGUGUACAAUGGCCUGCAUGAAACCCUGACUGAAGAGUCUCAGAAAUGUUAUUACCUUCUAGGAAAGCAGUUAGCUGUUGAAGUAUUUUGUAUAGAAAGGGAAGGUUAGAUAUUGGUCUGAAAUUAUUUAGCAUGCAGACUGGUUGCUGGUUUGGAGAAUGUCUGUUCACACAGUCUAAGAGGAGACAGUUUCCUGGUUAUUAGAGGGAGGGGACUUGGAGCAGCAGAUUGGGUAUUCAGCAAGGAACAGCUACUGAUUUCUUUUUGGUUGGUAGUUUGUUUUAAAUGUUGAAGAUAUUUUCUGUCUUUACUAUUUUCAUGUUUUUUAUUCACAGUGUCACUGUGCAGCCUAAAUGUGUGUUAUUGUAAUAAUAUUAAUAAUGCAAAAUAUCAGGUUUGAUGCAUCUUAUUUAUGUCGUGAUUAUUUCUUUAACUGUAUAAGCUCAAUAAAAUGUAUAAUCAAUGUAAUUUUUUUAAUAAUCUCUUCUGCAUUUAUCACAAUGCAAAUUUGUAAAGCACUAUAGUAAAAUUAUUGUUUUUAUUAAUGAUACACAUUGUGUUGAGGUUUCUUUGUUUCCAUAUGAAUAAGCUCUGUCAUUUUACUGCUCAUCACUCCAUUAACCAAUAACCUGAUUGUUAGGAGCAGAAAAGGUUUUGCUUUUAUUGAAAUACCAUCCUUGCGAAAGUUAGUUUAUUUCUUAAUAAUGAUGUCCCAGAAAUGUUUAGCAUCAGAAAUGUGGUAGCUUUUUUAUUUUAUGUUUCACAAAUUUCAUUUCCAAAGUUUUACAAACAAGAUGUUUUCAUUAGAAGAAAUAUUCACCUUAUGUUUCUAACAAUGAUGAAAUAAAGCAUUUACAGCUAACAAAAAAUGCUUAUCAAAAUUAGAACUUGACAUGAUAAUGGAGGAGGAUGAUGAGGAAAGUUAAGGGUGAUGGUUAUGGCCUGCUUCAUCAACCCAAAGGCUUGCACCAUACUUCUGCAAUUUGAUGCUAUGAUUGGCAGUCACAAUGAAAGACCGGUCGCUGGGGACAUGGAAAUUGUGGCAGAUGAUUUCAGUGCAGUUUUUGUCGUUGUUUUUAUCUU